rnacentral:rRNA from 1 species
CACCAGACUCCUACGGGAGGCAGCAGUGGGGGAUAUUGCACAAUGGGGGAAACCCUGAUGCAGCGACGCCGCGUGGGCGAAGAAGUAUUUCGGUAUGUAAAGCCCUCUCAGCAGGGAAGAAGAAAUGACGGUACCUGAGUAAGAAGCACCGGCUAAAUACGUGCCAGCAGCCGCGGUAAUACGUAUGGUGCAAGCGUUAUCCGGAUUUACUGGGUGUAAAGGGAGCGCAGGCGGCACGGCAAGCCUGAUGUGAAAGCCCGCGGCCCAACCGCGGGACUGCAUUGGGAACUACCGGGCUGGAGUGCCGGAGAGGUAGGCGGAAUUCCUAGUGUAGCGGUGAAAUGCGUAGAUAUUAGGAGGAACACCAGUGGCGAAGGCGGCCUGCUGGACGAUGACUGACGCUGAGGCUCGAAAGCGUGGGGAGCAAACAGGAUUAGAUACCCGCGUAA